UCCUGGCUCAGAUUGAACGCUGGCGGCAGGCCUAACACAUGCAAGUCGAGCGGAAACGAGUUNUCUGAACCUUCGGGGAACGAUAACGGCGUCGAGCGGCGGACGGGUGAGUAAUGCCUAGGAAAUUGCCCUGAUGUGGGGGAUAACCAUUGGAAACGAUGGCUAAUACCGCAUGAUGCCUACGGGCCAAAGAGGGGGACCUUCGGGCCUCUCGCGUCAGGAUAUGCCUAGGUGGGAUUAGCUAGUUGGUGAGGUAAGGGCUCACCAAGGCGACGAUCCCUAGCUGGUCUGAGAGGAUGAUCAGCCACACUGGAACUGAGACACGGUCCAGACUCCUACGGGAGGCAGCAGUGGGGAAUAUUGCACAAUGGGCGCAAGCCUGAUGCAGCCAUGCCGCGUGUGUGAAGAAGGCCUUCGGGUUGUAAAGCACUUUCAGUCGUGAGGAAGGUAGUGUAGUUAAUAGCUGCAUUAUUUGACGUUAGCGACAGAAGAAGCACCGGCUAACUCCGUGCCAGCAGCCGCGGUAAUACGGAGGGUGCGAGCGUUAAUCGGAAUUACUGGGCGUAAAGCGCAUGCAGGUGGUUUGUUAAGUCAGAUGUGAAAGCCCGGGGCUCAACCUCGGAAUUGCAUUUGAAACUGGCAGACUAGAGUACUGUAGAGGGGGGUAGAAUUUCAGGUGUAGCGGUGAAAUGCGUAGAGAUCUGAAGGAAUACCGGUGGCGAAGGCGGCCCCCUGGACAGAUACUGACACUCAGAUGCGAAAGCGUGGGGAGCAAACAGGAUUAGAUACCCUGGUAGUCCACGCCGUAAACGAUGUCUACUUGGAGGUUGUGGCCUUGAGCCGUGGCUUUCGGAGCUAACGCGUUAAGUAGACCGCCUGGGGAGUACGGUCGCAAGAUUAAAACUCAAAUGAAUUGACGGGGGCCCGCACAAGCGGUGGAGCAUGUGGUUUAAUUCGAUGCAACGCGAAGAACCUUACCUACUCUUGACAUCCAGAGAACUUUCCAGAGAUGGAUUGGUGCCUUCGGGAACUCUGAGACAGGUGCUGCAUGGCUGUCGUCAGCUCGUGUUGUGAAAUGUUGGGUUAAGUCCCGCAACGAGCGCAACCCUUAUCCUUGUUUGCCAGCGAGUAAUGUCGGGAACUCCAGGGAGACUGCCGGUGAUAAACCGGAGGAAGGUGGGGACGACGUCAAGUCAUCAUGGCCCUUACGAGUAGGGCUACACACGUGCUACAAUGGCGCAUACAGAGGGCNGCCAACUUGCGAAAGUGAGCGAAUCCCAAAAAGUGCGUCGUAGUCCGGAUUGGAGUCUGCAACUCGACUCCAUGAAGUCGGAAUCGCUAGUAAUCGUGGAUCAGAAUGCCACGGUGAAUACGUUCCCGGGCCUUGUACACACCGCCCGUCACACCAUGGGAGUGGGCUGCAAAAGAAGUAGGUAGUUUAAC
rnacentral:rRNA from 2 species